UUCAGAUAUUGGUAAGUGAACUGGAGGCAGGGCAUGAAAGGGAUAAUGAAUCCAGUUGUUUGUGUCGUCCGUUUUGGGAAAGUACCUGCGUAAUUGCGCACCCAGCUCACUCAGGUGCUUCGCUAUAUCACAUUGUCCGUAAGCUUGACUUAAUUUGAAAAAACAUCACCCAGAUAGGCCAGUCGUGUGAGAAACUCAUCAUCAUGGAAGCGGCCAGACAAGUGAAAAUGAUGAAGCAAAGUCCCUCCACAGUGCCUCAAACUGGAUUGCCUUUCAACUCCCGACAAGAUGGAGAAUGGCGUUUUGUGUUGCGUAGCGGGGGCAACCUGGGGCAAGGAUCCAUCACAGAGACACCGGCCUGAUAAACACAACCGGGACCUCCCAAUCUCCACGGCUCACAAAAGAAGAGCAGCAACCCCAGACGUCAUCUGACAGGGGUGUUCAAACCAAGAGUCUGGACAACCCCACCCCACCCCUCACCCUCCCUUUCUCUGUCACCAGCUCUUACUGACACCAGCUCUUACUGACACCUACCCCUCAGCCCCCUCUCUUUCCAUUUACUGUAACCAGCAUCCCCACCCACUGAGCACCAACCGACACCGGACGUCAAAAAGUAGUUGAAAUUUGGUCAGUCCAACCUGGCCUUGAUGUUAAUGUCCACAGACGGACUGGGCCAAAUCUGAACCUAUCACAGACGUAUGUUUCACAAGUUUGGAUAGCACAGCACAGUACCGCACAGUAUAGUAUAGUAUAGUAUAGUAUAGUACAGUACAGUACAAUACAGUGUAGUAUAGUACAGUACAGUAUAUUGUACUGUACUGACCUAUACUCUACUGUGCUAAACUCUACUGUACUCAACUGUGCUCUGCUGUGAUGUCCAAACUUGUGAAGCAGAAUGGCAUUCAUAUCCAUAAUUAUGCAUUUCUGUGUAGUACAGAUCAGGG
rnacentral:lncRNA from 1 species